GUGGGGGAUAUUGCACAAUGGAGGAAACUCUGAUGCAGCGACGCCGCGUGAGGGAAGAAGGUCUUCGGAUUGUAAACCUCUGUCUUCAGGGACGAAACAAAUGACGGUACCUGAGGAGGAAGCCACGGCUAACUACGUGCCAGCAGCCGCGGUAAUACGUAGGUGGCAAGCGUUGUCCGGAAUUACUGGGUGUAAAGGGAGCGCAGGCGGGGAAGCAAGUUGGGAGUGAAAUCUAUGGGCUUAACCCAUAAAUUGCUUUCAAAACUGUUUUUCUUGAGUAGUGCAGAGGUAGGCGGAAUUCCCGGUGUAGCGGUGGAAUGCGUAGAUAUCGGGAGGAACACCAGUGGCGAAGGCGGCCUACUGGGCACCAACUGACGCUGAGGCUCGAAAGUAUGGGUAGCAAACAGGAUUAGAAACCCGAGUAGUCC
rnacentral:rRNA from 1 species